rnacentral:rRNA from 1 species
GAUCAUGGUCAGGAUAACCUGGCGUGUAUGCCUUAGUAUGCCAGUCGAACGGUUGAGGUCGCAAGACCGAAAUAGUGGCGGACGGGUGAGUAAUGUAUAGGAAUCUACCCAAGAGUCGUGGAUAACCUGUCGAAAGACGGGCUAAUAUACGAUAGCCUCGCAAGAGUAAAGAGCUUAACUGCUCGCUUUUGGAGGAGCCUAUAUUCUAUCAGCUAGUUGGUGAGGUAAAGGCUCACCAAGCUCUGACGGAUAGCUGGUCUGAAGGAUGGUCAGCCACAGGGCACUGAACACGGGCGCCACACCUACGGGUGGCAGCAACCAGGAAUAUUGGGCAAUGGGGGAAACCCUGACCCAGCGACGCCGCGUGGACGGAUGACAGCCUUAGGGUUGUAAACUCCUUUUGCCAAGCCCUUCACAGCUUGGAGAAUAAGCCCUUACUAACUACGUGCCAGAAGUCUCGGUAAUACGUAGGGGGCAAGCGUAUCCGGAUUAUUGGGCGUAAAGCGUGUGUA